UACGUAGGGUGCAAGCGUGUCCGGAAUUCAUUGGUGCGUAAAGAGCUCGUAGGCGGUCUGUCGCGUCUGCUGUGAAAACUCAGGGCUUAACCCUGAGCUUGCAGUGGGUACGGGCAGACUAGAGUGCGGUAGGGGAGACUGGAAUUCCUGGUGUAGCGGUGAAAUGCGCAGAUAGUCAGGAGGAACACCGGUGGCGAAGGCGGGUCUCGUGGGCCG
rnacentral:rRNA from 1 species